GAUGAACGCUGGCGGCGUGCCUAAUACAUGCAAGUCGAGCGAACAGACGAGGAGUUUGCUCCUCUGACGUUAGCGGCGGACGGGUGAGUAACACGUGGAUAACCUCCCUAUAAGACUGGGAUAACUUCGGGAAACCGGAUCUAAUACCGUAUAAUAUAUUGAACCGUAUGGUUCAAUAGAGAAAGACGGUUUUGCUGUCACUUAUAGAUGCUUCCGCGCCGCUUUGGCUGGUUGGUAGGGUAACGGCUUACAACGGCAACGCUGCGUAGCCGACGGGAGGGGGGGGUCGGCCACCCUGGACGUGGAACACGGUCCAGGCUCCUACGGGAGGAAGCAGAAGGGAAUCUUCCGCAAUGGGCGAAAGCCUGACGGAGCACGGCGGCGUGAGUGAUGAAGGUCUUCGGUUCGUAAAACUCGGUUAUGGGGGAAAAACAGAUGUGGAAGGAAAUAUGCACGUCUUGACGGUACCUAAUCAGAAAGCCACGGCUAACUACGUG
rnacentral:rRNA from 1 species